GAGUGAGUGUUCCGGAGAGCACGUGUUAGGGAAGGAGGAGGCUGCGGGCUAACCUGCCGGGAGGGAGGAUGCUGCUGCCUGUUUCCUAUUAGUGACAACCCACCUCCUAAUCACGUCCUGCUUCAAACAAGGUAACAUUACAGGACAGCCUCCGAAACAAUAACUGUUUGAAUAUCCUUAAUCUUCGGCAACUUCAAUAACUCCCCCAAAUAUAUGUAAUCAGAGAAUUAACUUUUACAACUUUUGGUUAUUGUUUGCUUGAACCAUAAAGCAGAGCUCUUUCUGGGUGUUUGGUUCUGAUGCAUUUUAGUUAGUUUUUAAUUUUUUAUUAUUACAACUCUAAUUUUCUCACACAAUUAUCUACUUCUAAUAGGUUUUCAUUUAAAAAGGCAUGUAACUGAUGCCUAAUUUUAUACUGCUGGCCUAUUUGCUUUGUUUUAGCCAGAGUUUGGCAGACUUUGUAGACAAAAUGAAACGUUGCUCUAAAACUUUUAACACUUAAAUAAUCAUAAUACACUCGAUUUUUGCUCUGCCGAAAAUCUUCCCACUAAUGCUCUAAUGCAAUUGAUUGGUGGAAAACAAUAUACACAGUUUUUUUUCUCAAAGGGAUUUGGAAGUCACUCAAAAUUAAUUCCCCACUGAUGAGCAGAGAAGAAUCUCUCAAGAAGAAUUCCUCAAAAGCACGUGGAAAAUUUUCAUGACCUCUGCAGAGUGUAAGACAGUAUUUAAAAAGUCACUGGGGGCCAGGCAUGGUGGCUCACACCUGUAAUCCUGGCAAUUUGGGAGGCCAAGGCAGGCGGAUCACUUGAGGUCACAAGUUGGAGACCAGCCUGGCCAACAUGGUGAAACCCCAUCUCUACUAAAAAAAUUAGCUGGGCACA
rnacentral:lncRNA from 1 species